rnacentral:lncRNA from 1 species
AUGAUAUCAAAAUCAUCCGAAGUGAACCGUGCUGAGGGCCGUGUCCAGAAGAGAAGGGGGAGGCACCACCUUCCCUGCCCACCAGAUGGACUUCAGUCCCCAGGGGACAGCAUGUGCUCAGGGAGGGCGAGAGUCCACGUGCCCAUGGUCCUUCCCAGAGCUUCAGGCCGACCUGUGUGCAGUCUCUGUGAAUUUCACUCCGUAACCUCCCACUUUCUUUUUUCGUUUUCUUUUUCUUUUUUUUUUUUUUUUUGACAGGCAGAGUGGACAGUGACAGUGAGAGAGAGACAGAGAGAGAAAGGUCUUCCUUUGCCGUUGUUUCACCCUCCAAUGGCCACCACGGCUGGUGCGCUGCGGCCGGCACACCACGCUGAUCUGAAGGCAGGAGCCAGGUGCUUCUCCUGGUCUCCCAUGGGGUGCAGGGCCCAAGCACUUGGGCCAUCCUCCACUGCACUCCCUGGCCACAGCAGAGAGCUGGCCUGGAAGAGGGGCAACUGGGACAGAAUCUGGUGCCCCGACCGGGACUAGAACCCAGUGUGCCGGCGCCGCAAGGCGGAGGAUUAGCCUAGUGAGCCGUGGCGCCGGCUUCCCUCCCACUUUCUUUCCUGCUCCUGAGCACCCCCACCCCCCACUGCCUCCUCACACGGUUGUCCAGCAUUCAGGUCAGAGGAAAGCAAUUCCUGUCCAUUUCGGGUGGUUACAAGGGUGUCAGUGGCCAUCGGCACCAUCGUCCAGCUCCAGCCCCAGUGUCUAUUUGGGAUGGUCGCUGUGAACUUCACGAUGGGGUUGGGAUGGGGUGAGAGUCCCCCAAAAGAUCACAGGCUAGAAGGUUGUUGUCCAGUGUGGCAGUGUUGAGGGGUGAUGGGCCCUUUAAGAGGUGGGGAUUAGGGGGAGGUAAUGAGGGCCUGGGACUAUGGCCAGGAUUAAUGCAGGUGUGAGAAUGAGUUAAUUCCCCCAGAGUUGAGAGUUAGAAAGUGCUUGGCACCUUCUGCACAUGAAAGGUUCUUUUUCAUAUUUUAUUACGUAUUAUAUUAUAUUUUAAAAGUACAGUGAUAGGACGAGAGGGAGAGAGAGAGAGAGGAGCUUCCAUCUACUGGUUCACU